rnacentral:rRNA from 1 species
UACGUAGGGGGCUAGCGUUGUCCGGAAUCAUUGGGCGUAAAGCGCGUGUAGGCGGUCCGGUAAGUCCGCUGUGAAAGUCGGGGGCUCAACCCCUGGAUGCGGGUGGAUACUGCUGGGCUAGAGUCCGGAAGAGGCGAGUGGAAUUCCUGGUGUAGCGGUGAAAUGCGCAGAUAUCAGGAGGAACACCGAUGGCGAAGGCAGCUCGCUGGGACGGUACUGACGCUGAGGCGCGAAAGCGUGGGGAGCGGACAGG